CCGGCACGGGUGAGUAACACGUAUGCAAUCCACCUGUAACAGGGGGAGUAACCCGGAGAAAUCCGGACUAAUACCCCAUAAUAUGGGCGCCCCGCAUGGAGAGUCCAUUAAAGAGAGCAAUCUUGGUUACAGACGAGCAUGCGCUCCAUUAGCCAGUUGGCGGGGUAACGGCCCACCAAGGCGACGAUGGAUAGGGGUUCUGAGAGGAAGGUCCCCCACAUUGGAACUGAGACACGGUCCAA
rnacentral:rRNA from 1 species